rnacentral:lncRNA from 1 species
AAAUAAUUUAGAAUGGAAUGGGAUAUGGCCCCGAAGAGUGGCGCGCUCACUUGUAUUAUUUCUUCAUUAUUGAACGGUGGGAAUCCCUGGAUGAUAUUCUUUAAAUUUUUACUCUUCCUUUUUUAAUUCUGAAGUUUAAUUUUCUCGCUGCAUAAGUCGUCGACAGUUUUUGUCUUUUCAUUUACCUCGUUUUGUUGGUCCCUCGAAAUUUCGACACUUUUUACUUUUUCGUGUCUCCGAUUUGGACUGUUGUGUAAAGAUAAAAUAUGCUUGGAUUUUCAUCAUGUCUUUUCUUUUUUUGAGGGAGAUUUUCAUCAUGUCUUAAUGUGCAUGUAUUCAAAAGUUGUUGCUAUGUGCGUGUAGGUUUUCUCACCAUUUUCGUUUUUUCAUAUAAUUGCAUUAGUAUUUGUCUAGUUAUUUCUAAUUUUAAUUUUUUUGUAUUCAUUUCUUACGCAAAAAAAAAAAAAACGAUAAUUGCAAGUAAAUGUAGAAAUUCACUUGAUUCUAAUUUUGCACAUGAAUUAAAAUUUAUACUUUCAAUACAUGAAUUUCUUCAAUUUUCGUAAUUUUUUAUACUGUUGUUCUUCAUCAUGGCUAGUUAAAAUUACGUGGACAUUGAGUUAUAUCAUUUAAUAUAUAGGCCGUUUAAGUAUGUAGACAUUUCAAACAUUAAUCUAAUCAUGCGAAAAUAAGAGUAUUUUUCAUGUAUUUGGGGAUAAAAAUUUAAUUUAUGUGCAAAAAUCAAAAUAUAGUAAAAAUUUCGUGUAUUUAGACUUAAUUAUUGGAAAAAUAAAAAUGGAACUCGUUAUGGAUCAAUUUUAAUUUUAAUUUUAAUUUAUUGUAGGUAUCGGUGGAUUGCACAAUUGCCAUUAGCCCAAGAAAGCAAGCCCUAAUAUACAAGCAGUGUGGAUUCGACGGCCUCAGCGUCUGAUAUAUUGGUCAUGUGGUCCCCACCGCCCCUCUUUGUUUCUCUUUCUUUCUUUAAUUUCUCUCUCUAGAAAUCGAAAAGGGAAAUUCCCGUGGAGAGAGUGAGAGAUGGGGAGUUUACAAAGUGAAUUCCCACAAAGUUGAAAGCAAUUAAUUGAGAUAUGAGUAUGAGGGGUUUCUGCAAAUUUUGUAUUCUUGUGUAAAGUUCCUAAAAUCUGCUCGAUUCAAUGAUAUUCCACUUGACUUAGAAUAUGGUGCCAUAUUUCAUUAUGCGUUGUGCUAUAACAUGGUAUGUCGUCGGUGUAGGUCCAGCUCGGUCGGCUCUUACUGUGGGCGCCAAGACUGAUUGAAGCUCUUUUUUUUUAUUUUGUGGUCUCGUAUGGUAUUUUUAUACUUUUUUGAACGAAUUAUUUUAUUGCACGUAGAAUAAGAAG